ensembl:misc_RNA Metazoa_SRP Metazoan signal recognition particle RNA
ACUAGACAUGGUGGUGUGUGCCUAUGGUCCUAGCUGCUCUGGAUGCUGAGGCAGGAGAAUCAUUUGAGUAUAAGAGUUCUGGGCUGUAAUGCACCAUGCUAUUUUGGGGUCCACACUAACUUCAGCAUCAAUAUGGUAACCUCCCAGGAGCAGAGGACCACCAGGUUGCCUAAGGAGGGGUAAACCAACCUAGGUCAGAAACAGAGCAGGUCACAACUCUAGUGCUGAUCAGUAAUGGGACUGCACCUGUGAAUAGCUACUGCAUUCCAGUUUGGGCAACAUAGUGAGAUUCCAUCUCUU